rnacentral:rRNA from 1 species
AGAGUUUGAUCCUGGCUCAGGAUGAACGCUGGCGGCGUGCCUAACACAUGCAAGUCGAACGGAGUUUAUAUUAAGAAGUUUUCGGACGGAUUGAUAUAAACUUAGUGGCGGACGGGUGAGUAACGCGUGGGUAACCUGCCUCAUACAGGGGGAUAACAGUCGGAAACGGCUGCUAAAACCGCAUAAGCAUACAGUAUCGCAUGGUACAGUGUGAAAAUAUUUAUAGGUAUGAGAUGGGCCCGCGUCUGAUUAGCUAGUUGGUGAGAUAAAAGCUUACCAAGGCGACGAUCAGUAGCCGGCUUGAGAGAGUGACCGGCCACAUUGGGACUGAGACACGGCCCAAACUCCUACGGGAGGCAGCAGCUAAGAAUCUUCCGCAAUGGGCGAAAGCCUGACGGAGCGACGCCGCGUGAACGAAGAAGGCCGUGAGGUUGUAAAGUUCUUUUCGGGAGGGGGAACGAGGCUGCCAGGCAAUGGGCGGCCGAUGACGUGAAUCCCGGAAUAAGCCCCGGCUAACUACGUGCCAGCAGCCGCGGUAACACGUAGGGGGCGAGCGUUGUUCGGAAUCAUUGGGCGUAAAGGGCGUGCAGGCGGCCGCCAAAGUCCGGCGUGAAAGACCCAGGCUCAACCUGGGGGGUGCGCCGGAUACUGGGCGGCUUGAGUACAGGAGGGGACGGCGGAAUUCCAGGUGUAGGGGUGAAAUCUGUAGAUAUCUGGAGGAACACCGAUGGCGAAGGCAGCCGUCUGGCCAUGUACUGACGCUGAGGCGCGAAGGUGCGGGGAGCAAACAGGUUUAGAUACCCUGGUAGUCCGCACAGUAAACGAUGUGCACCAGGCGGCGGGGGCAACCUCGCUGCCGCAGUCAACGCAUUAAGUGCACCGCCUGGGGAGUAUGCCCGCAAGGGUGAAACUCAAAGGAAUUGACGGGGGCCCGCACAAGCGGUGGAGCAUGUGGUUUAAUUCGAUGAUACGCGAGAAACCUUACCAGGGCUUGACAUGCGCCGGGAGCGCGUCGAAAGGCGCGCGCCCCUCGGGGCCGGCGCACAGGUGCUGCAUGGCUGUCGUCAGCUCGUGCUGUGAAGUGUUGGGUUAAGUCCCGCAACGAGCGCAACCCCUAUCCUUAGUAGCCAGCAAGUUAAGUUGGGCACUCUAGGGAGACUGCCAGGGAUAACCUGGAGGAAGGCGGGGACGACGUCAAAUCAUCAUGCCCCUUAUGGCCUGGGCUACACACGUGCUACAAUGGUGACUACAAAGGGACGCAACCCUGCGAAGGCAAGCAAAUCCCAAAAAGGUCACCCCAGUUCGGAUUGUAGUCUGCAACUCGACUACAUGAAGCCGGAAUCGCUAGUAAUCGUGAAUCAGAAUGUCGCGGUGAAUACGUUCCCGGGUCUUGCACACACCGCCCGUCA